UACGUAGGGUGCGAGCGUUGUCCGGAAUUAUUGGGCGUAAAGGGCUCGUAGGCGGUCUGUCACGUCGGGAGUGAAAACACGGGGCUUAACCCCGUGCCUGCUUCCGAUACGGGCAGACUAGAGGUAUGCAGGGGAGAACGUGAAUUCCUGGUGUAGCGGUGAAAUGCGCAGAUAUCAGGAGGAACACCGGUGGCGAAGGCGGUUCUCUGGGCAUUACCUGACGCUGAGGAGCGAAAGUGCGGGAGGGCGAAACAGG
rnacentral:rRNA from 1 species